UUUAUCUUAUUCUUUAAUAUUAGGGUAACUGCAAACAUAUUUUGGAAAAAAAAAGUACUUUUCAGGCUUUAGUCUAUAAUAACUUUUUUUUAGAAGAGCUAAUG
rnacentral:sRNA from 1 species